CCUACGGGGGGCUGCAGUGGGGAAUAUUGCACAAUGGGGGAAACCCUGAUGCAGCAACGCCGCGUGAGCGAAGAAGGCCUUCGGGUCGUAAAGCUCUGUCGUCAGGGAAGAACAAGUACGGUAGGAAAUGGCGGUACCUUGACGGUACCCGACGAGAAAGCCACGGCUAACUACGUGCCAGCAGCCGCGGUAAUACGUAGGUGGCAAGCGUUGACCGGAAUUAUUGGGCGUAAAGCGCGCGCAGGCGGUCCUUUAAGUCUGAUGUGAAAUCCCGGGGCUCAACCGCGAGAGGGCAUUGGAGACUGGGGGGCUUGAGUGCAGAAGAGGGGAGCGGAAUUCCACGUGUAGCGGUGAAAUGCGUAGAGAUGUGGAGGAACACCAGUGGCGAAGGCGGCUUUCUGGGCUGUAACUGACGCUGAGGCGCGAAAGCGUGGGGAGCGAACAGGAUUAGAUACCCGAGUAGUC
rnacentral:rRNA from 1 species